rnacentral:rRNA from 1 species
AACAAACGCUGGCGGCGUGCCUAAUACAUGCAAGUCGAACGGGGAAAGCUUUCGGGUGAGUACUAGUGGCGCACGGGUGAGUAACGCGUGGAUAAUCUGCCUUAGAGUGGGGGAUAACUAGUCGAAAGAUUAGCUAAUACCGCAUAAGACCACAAGAACUGCGGUUCAAGGGGUCAAAGGUUUUUCGCUCUAAGAUGAGUCCGCGUAAGAUUAGCUAGUUGGUAGGGUAACGGCCUACCAAGGCGACGAUCUUUAACUGGUCGGAGAGGAUGAGCAGUCACACUGGAACUGAGACACGGUCCAGACUCCUACGGGAGGCAGCAGUAGGGAAUAUUGCACAAUGGAGGAAACUCUGAUGCAGCGACGCCGCGUGAGUGAUGAAGGCCUUCGGGUCGUAAAGCUCUGUCGCAGGGGAAUAACACAAUGAAGGUACCCUGUAAGAAAGGAUCGGCUAACUUCGUGCCAGCAGCCGCCGUAAAAC